UUCCCGCUAAGUCUUUGUAGGUAGUGAGCGAGCAGUGAGGUCACUGGACACUGUUCCCGCUAAGUCUUUGUAGGUAGUGAGCGAGCAGUGAGGUCACUGGACACUGUUCCCGCUAAGUCUUUGUAGGUAGUGAGCGAGCAGUGAGGUCCCUAGACAUUGUUCCCGCUAAGUCUUUGUAGGUAGUGAGCGAGCAGUGAGGUCCCUAGACAUUGUUCCCGCUAAGUCUUUGUAGGUAGAGAGCAGAGCAGUGAGGUCACUGGACACUGUUCCCGCUAAGUCUUUGUAGGUAGUCGGCGAGCAGUGAGGUCACUGGACACUGUUCCCGCUAAGUCUUUGUAGGUAGUGAGCGAGCAGUGAGGUCACUGGACACUGUUCCCGCUAAGUCUUUGUAGGUAGUGAACAGACAGUGAGGUCACUGGACACUGUUCCCGCUAAGUCUUUGUAGGUAGUCGGCGAGCAGUGAGGUCACUGGACACUGUUCCCGCUAAGUCUUUGUAGGUAGUGAGCGAGCAGUGAGGUCACUGGACACUGUUCCCGCUAAGUCUUUGUAGGUAGUGAGCGAGCAGUGAGGUCCCUGGACAUUGUUCCCGCUAAGUCUUUGUAGGUAGUGAGCGAGCAGUGAGGUCCCUGGACACUGUUCCCGCUAAGUCUUUGUAGGUAGUGAGCGAGCAGUGAGGUCCCUGGACAUUGUUCCCGCUAAGUCUUUGUAGGUAGUGAGCGAGCAGUGAGGUCACUGGACACUGUUCCCGCUAAGUCUUUGUAGGUAGUGAGCGAGCAGUGAGGUCACUGGACACUGUUCCCGCUAAGUCUUUGUAGGUAGUGAGCGAGCAGUGAGGUCACUGGACACUGUUCCCGCUAAGUCUUU